CUGACUUUCUAUCCCAUUGUGUGUGAAUAAAAUUGCACCUCCUGUCUUCUUCUUGGGUACUGAGAAGAAUCUGCAGGAUUUAUAAUCCUGAAACUUCUGCCUUGUGUCCUAUACUCUCUAUGUAAGUAUCCACAGGGGUUGUGGAAGACGAUCCAUAUUUUGGGAUCUAGAGGAGAGUAUCUUUAAAAGCCUUAAUCUUUUUUAUGCCCAUUUUGUAGGCAGCCCAUGUAGUGUGAGAAUUAGUCUGGUGAGCCUUGUGGACACAUUUGACUCUUCAUGUGGCAGCUUGCUUUUCUCACAUAUGGAAGAGAUUAGAAGUCUGCAUAUUUGCUACAAGGCCUGCUCUCAAGUUCCCUAUACACCAGAUUGGUCUGAGCCAGAAGAGCAGUGCCUUUGUGUUCAUGGAUCCCUCUCUCACAGUCAACCUUUUCAAAAACUAGUCAAGGCCUUGCAUCCUUUUCACAUCCAACGUUUGCAAAGGCACAAAGACAACUGCUUCUACCCUGAACGCAUCCACCUGCCAGAGGUUGUGUCCUGUUUAGCAAUGAUGAAAUCCUCAUCUGUAUGCAACCUGAGAGAAGCGAGACAAAACUUUCAUUCUAAGAGAAACAGCUGACUCCGACUAAAGCUGAGUCAUAAUUUCCAACCUCCUCUCUUUGUAAGAUAAACUUGACAGCUUGUGUUUAAACCAUCUUAUACAUCUGGAUCCUCUUCUAAGAGGGACAUGCUUAACCAAGUCUGCCCAGAGCUGGAGUUUCCAUGAUUAAAGACACUUGUUCUAAAUGCAAGAACCUCUGAGUAGAAAUCCCCCGGAAGAGAUGCUUUCAAAACCAAGAAAACCUCAACUCAGUGCAUUAGUUGUUUUUGCUUUACAGUAUCCAGACAGAUGUUGGGUCACCUAAACUGAGGACAUAAACAUUCUUGCCAUCAAGUUCAGCUAAUCUAUAUUUUAAUCUAAACAGUCCACAGGCUCAGAUUAAUCAGAACAAUUUACUGUAGAGAGAAAGAAGAGAAAAACGAACAAAUAUGUAUUGGAUGUAACUCUGUACCCGUUUUUAUCUUUUAAUCCUCACAACAUCCAUGUGAAGUUGAUUUGAUUUUCUCUGUCUGGCCAGUGAGCAUACAGAGACUCAGAGAAGUAAACAGUUUGCCCAAAUUCACAAAUCUGGUAAGUGAUACAUAAAAUAGAGAAACUACACAAAGCAUUUCUAGUUACUAAACAUCUACUACUGUGGUAGACACUACAUUUAUUUGUUAUUUUUUUUUAUUCAAGUGUAAUUAACAUACAGUGACAUAUUAGGUUUGGAUGUACAAUAUAAUGAUUCAACAAUUUAUACAUUUUUCAGUGCUCAUCAAAAUAAGGAUACUCUUUAUCCCCUUUAUCUACUUCACUCAUCCCCCUACCUGCCUUCUCUCUGACAAGCACCAGUUCUCUGUGUUUAACAGUCCAUUUUUUGUCUCUUUAAAAAAUUAUCUAUUUAUUUAUUUGAGAAAGAAAGAAGAGUGAGAGACAGUACAAGUGGGAGCAGAGGGGCACGCUUGCCACUGAGCAGGGAGCCCCAUGCAGGGUUCAAUCCCAAGACCCCAGGAUCAUGAACUGAGCUGACGCAGAUACUUAGCUGACUGAGCCACUCAGGCACCCUAUUUUUUAUUUAUCUCUUCUUUUUAUUGUUUGCUUGUUAUUUUCUUCAAAUUCCACAUAUGAAUGAAACCAUGUGGUAUUUGUUUUUCUUUGACUUAUUUUACUUAGCAUUAUACCAUCUAGGUCCAUCUCUGUUGUCGCAAAAAUUUCAUUCUUUUUAUGUCUAAGUAAUAUACCAUUGUGUAUAUAUACCAUAUCUUUAUCCAUUCGUCUAUCUAUGGGAAUUUGGGCUGCUUCCGUACUUUAGCUAUUGUAAAUAAUGCUGCAAUAAACAUAGGGCUGCAUGUAUCUUUUUGAAUUAG
rnacentral:lncRNA from 1 species